rnacentral:lncRNA from 1 species
UUUAUUAUUAAAAUAAAAAUAAAAAUAAAAUUGAAUUAUAUUAGAAUAAAAAAUAAAAUGACAAAAUUAUUCACAAAUAUUUUUUUUUAUUAUUAGAAUGAAAAUGAGAAUGAAAAAUUGACUUCUAGAAUUUUGAGAAAAAAAUUUAAUUAAGAGAAAAAAAAAAGUGAUAAAGAAAAAAGAGGAGAAGGUGUUUGUGAGAGAGUAUCUUGAGCGAUUUAUUUUGGAAUGAACCAAAUUAGAAUUCAAAACGAAAUUAGGCUAUAAAUGAAUUGAACUAUUUUUAUUCCAGAAUGAGAUGAGGAUCGAAAUUCGAUUCAUAUAAAAUAAAAAAUAACUAUUGAAAUUCAUGAAUCUUAUUUCAAUUUCCCAAGUCUAACAUUGAUGAACUAAAUAAGUGCUAACUAAGUUCCAAACUAAACCUAUAGAUAGCUUUCCAAAUAGCAAUUGUUAUACUAAGUAGCGAAGCACAAUAUGUACGAAAACUUGCUACUGACACCAAGAUGUUUAAUUAAAAAAGACUAAAUUACAGAAAAUUUUUCCGUCAAUACCUACUUUUCAUUUUUUUCCAUAUCAUUCGAAAAUCUACAUUUUACUUCUUUAAAAUUAAGAAAUGUUCACUUCGGUAUCCGUCAUCAGUAUUUCAUUAAGAUUCUAUUUAUAUUAUAUUAUUAUAUAAUUGUUUAUAUCUAAAAUAUUUUUGAAACACUCGUCUACUUCCUCCUUCCUCAUCGACAUUGUUGGCCGCGCUGCCUCGCCGCCUCGCCCUACUCGGCCACUUUGCCCUCGCCCUCGUGCACUCCUCUGUUCGUGCCCAUACACACACCGUUGCCCUCCUCCUCUGCCUCACCCUCUCCCUCACCCUCGCCUACCUCUUCGCCCAUACUCACCCUGAUCUCUCACUACAAUCGCCAAAAUGGAGGGGUGGCGAGGGUGCUAGAGGAGCGGGGGAUUAGAUGAAGGAAACAGAAUCGAAGCUAAGUCGAGAGAGGUACGAAGGACGAAGGAGGAAAGGUUGCGAAUGAGCAGGAUUAAGAAGGAAAAUGAAGAAAAUGAGAGAUAGUUUGGUCAUUUUAUUAUCAGAGUUAACACUGUAUUUUGGAAAAUAUUUUUUAAUUUUUAAGAGAACAAAAUGUAGAUUUUUAAAUAACAGAAAAAAAAAGAAGAAAAGAUAGAUAAUGAUUGAAAAUUUUAUAUAAUUUAGCCUUAAAAAAGAAUAAUAAUAUCAUGGAUGAGGUUGUAACUUGAAAUAUU